rnacentral:rRNA from 1 species
AACGCGAAGAACCUUACCAAGGUUUGACAUGGCCGGAAAAGCAUCAGAGAUGGUGUGUCCUUCGGGGUCGGUCACAGGUGGUGCAUGGCUGUCGUCAGCUCGUGUCGUGAGAUGUUGGGUUAAGUCCCGCAACGAGCGCAACCCUCGUCCUAUGUUGCCAGCGGGUCAUGCCGGGGACUCAUGGGAGACUGCCGGGGUCAACUCGGAGGAAGGUGGGGAUGACGUCAAGUCAUCAUGCCCCUUAUGUCUUGGGCUGCAAACAUGCUACAAUGGCCGGUACAGAGGGCUGCGAGACCGCGAGGUUGAGCGAAUCCCGGAAAGCCGGUCUCAGUUCGGAUCGGGGUCUGCAACUCGGCCCCGUGAAGCUGGAGUCGCUAGUAAUCGCGGAUCAGCAACGCCGCGGUGAAUACGUUCCCGGGCCUUGUA